AGGGAACUGUGAGCGCAACCAAUUUAAUAAGCACCUCCCUUCCCGCCAUAGAUAGUAAGCCAAUCUUCCAUCCCUGUACUUUUUUUUGAAAUUCUCUCUCCAAUAUAAGUAAGAGCUAGUCUUUUAGACCUCCCCACAAAGAUGGUAAUCCCAAGUAGAUACCCGGAUUGAGAGUUACAUGUACCCUAAGAGCACGACCAAUAUCAUGGGCCAGAUAAGAAGGAGAAUUAGCACUUAAGAAGAGAGAAGACUUAUCAUAGUUAACAACCACAGAUAAAGGAGUCAGUGUACACACAACACAUAACAAGCAUCACCCACCGAGCAUUAAACCUCAUCAUGUAGAGUGUUGCUUCCAAAAAAUCCCACUCAACAUUAUCAUAUGCCUUGUUCAUAUCCAAUUUCAACCCAAGCUCGCAUUUCUUACCUUCCUUUAGUUUGAGGUAAUGACAUGCCUCAUGAGCGACCAGAAGAUUAUCUUGUAUUUGCCGAUCGAUAACACAUUGGAGAUGAUAGUUGCUGCCCUCGCUGCCAUGGCCUUCAGGAAACCAUUAUUAUCAAUUAGUGGGCAAGACAAAGCAGAAACCACAGAAGUUGGAUUAGUUUAGAGUGAUAAACUUUUAUUUAUAUCUUGUACACUUGUAAGAUUAUUAUUAUUAUUUUAUAUAAAGGAAAUGUAUUUUAACCCA